AGGAUAAACGCUGGCGGCGUGCCUAACACAUGCAAGUCGAACGCACUCAGCAAUGAGUGAGUGGCGGACGGGUGAGUAACACGUGGGCAAUCUACCUUUCGGUGAGGAAUACCGGCGAGAAAUCGCCGACAAUACCGCAUACGCUUCGCAAGAAGCAAAGUCGCAAGACGCCGGAGGAGGAGCCUGCGCCCGAUUAGCUAGUUGGUGGAGUAAUGGUCUACCAAGGCGACGAUCGGUAGCUGGUCUGAGAGGAUGAUCAGCCACACUGGGAUUGAGAACGGCCCAGACUCCUACGGGGGCAGCAGUGAGGAAUUUUCGUUAAUGGGGGCAACCCGUGAACGAGCAACGCCGCGUGUAGGAUGACCCUUUUCGGAGCGUAAACUACUUUUCUCGGGGACGAGUAAGGACGGUACCCGAGGAAUCAGCCCCGGCUAACUACGUGCCAGCAGCCGC
rnacentral:rRNA from 1 species